UAAUGUAUGGGGAUCUGCCCGAUAGAGGGGGAUAACUACUGGAAACGGUGGCUAAUACCGCAUAAUGUCUACGGACCAAAGCAGGGGCUCUUCGGACCUUGCACUAUCGGAUGAACCCAUAUGGGAUUAGCUAGUAGGUGGGGUAAAGGCUCACCUAGGCGACGAUCUCUAGCUGGUCUGAGAGGAUGAUCAGCCACACUGGGACUGAGACACGGCCAG
rnacentral:rRNA from 1 species